UGUAAUUUUCUAAUCCAAUACUAUUAGUUUAUUUUUAAUAUCCAUAAAUUUUAGAAAAUUAUUUAGUUUUAUGUUUUGAUAAUUAUACACUUAACAAAAUUUUCUCUUAUAUUACAAAAUUUGAUUUAAUAUAUUUUAACAAAAAGAUAUAAAUUAAAGAAUAUUUCAAAAUUGUAAUUUUUAUAUAUAUACAUAUAUAUUACUAAAUAUACAUUGAAUAAAAAAUAUUUUCUGCACAUUGUGCAGGAAAACACCUAGUAGUGACUAUAUAUGUUGUUAUGUGUACGAAGAAUAAUACUUGAAUAAAUAUGUCGUGUGCGAAUAUUAAUAUAUAAUUAAGUGUUACUUUUGUCUUGUUCCCCAUAUCAUAUGUUCAAAAAGAGCAGAUGGCGGAUUUAGUAUGUGAGAAUAUAAUUUCCCAAAAAAUUGGAUAGAACCUAAAUGAUAUAUAAAAGAUAUGUAUUAGUUCACAGUUGAAAAUAUAUGAUAUUUAACAUAUAGUAGUAUUAGAAUCUGAUGUAUAUCCGAGCUGAAAUUGGUUCGGUCUAUAAAAAAUUAGCCAAUCGAUUUUAAUUGAUAUCGACCUAACCCAAAUUAGUCUGGCCAAUUUAACCUAUAAUUAUCCUAUACGAUGUAAUGAUCAUCGAUAUAAGUGGAUAGACAUAUUCUUAUUACAGGGGGUGAUGGAAAUAUUCCUCAUGGAAAUUGUAAAUAAGAAAGGGAGAGAAACAGAGUGAAACAUGGCGAGAAGUUGAUGCAAUUAACUAUGCUAAAAAAGUUUGCAGACAAGUGUAUCAGGAACAAGCUUAGUCUGGUCAGAUUGAAGGGGAAAAAAGGCCCAAUCAUUGUUUUCGGAGGGCUAGUAGUUUGAAGAUUUGAGGAUCACUUAGAACAGAUUAAAUUUAAGGAGGAUGAACUAGCAGUCUAGCAUCAUGGAAAAGUGAUGGAGAAUUGACCAAAGCAUCCAACGAUCAAGCAUAGUGGCAAGAGUCAAUUUCCAAAAACGGUCGGAAAAACAAGAGAGAGAGAGAGAAAAUAUUCUCUCUAGAGUCUCUCCCCCCCCAAUCUCUUUAACCUAGCGCCGCCAUCAUCACAACCCUGUUACGGUGAAGAAGUUCGACGGCAAGUUUGCUGUCCUUCUUCGCCACCCCAUUUCCUCUUUUCUUCUCUCUUUUGCCUCUAUCCUCCAUCCUUCUUCUCUCCAUCUAUACCGACAUGCUUUUCUCCUCUGGUUUCUCUGGUUCACCGGUGAUUUAGCAACGGCAAUGACGGGCGUCCGUUAAGCCGCUGGAGGAGAAGCGAGGUGUAGCAAGUUGAAGUGUUUGGUGGCGCCAGUAGGUUAUCUCUCGCACCAAAGGGUUUUUUCUUAGAUCUGGGUCAGAUCUAGGGGUCUACGGUUCAUCGGGAAUUAAUGGAGAGCGUCGCUGCCUCGCCUGGAGCCUUCCUUACCGUCUUCCAGACUCUUUGUCGUCGAUUUGCUACCCACUGGUCUGUAUGAGUUCCUCUUCUCUGUCUCCCGCAGGUACACGAUGUAGAGGCCAUCGUGGAGGUUUACUCUGUCGCUCGAUCUGUCUCUUUGCACAGCAGUGCGUUUGGUGCUUUCGGUUCUGGUGAGCUCCUCCUCUUCGCAGAUCGGCAAGGGAUCUUGGGCUGUCCCGUAGUUAAGCCGCCGUGGCGUUUGGAGUCUCUCACCUUUGUCGUAGCUCUCGCCUGUUUUGAGAGCUCUGCCUCUUCAUGUCCUAAAAUCAUUUGAUUGUUUAUGGCUGCCCAAAGAUGUUAGCUGCCUUUCUUGAGUCUCGUCGAGCCUUCCGACUUGGUAUGUGGCCGGUUUCUGCCGUUUCCCUACCGCCUGCUUCCACACCGUGAAGCUCAUGAGUCUUGUAAGGCUUGCUGUUGUUGAUAUUCCUGGAGGUGGUAGCGUUGUCUGUGCUGAUGCAGAGCUUGGUCACCUCUUCCGGCUAAUGCGAUUGCAGCCUCCCCGCCCAAGGGGACCUCUGAUUAUCAGACUUCUUUGAUGCCUAUUGAUUCCUUUAGCAGGCUCCAGCUUAAGGUGGCUCAGUCAUUUCAACUCUUCAAGUGUAUAGUGCAAAGUAACACAUCAUUAGUCUUAGCAUUAAUCUAGUUCACUAGAUUAGUCCUAUUAUGUUCUACAAGCUCUUUUAACUUUUUUUGCGGCUUGUACAACCAAAUUAGCUUCUUGAAGCUCUUUGGAUUUCAAGUUUCACCACUUGUAAUCUUUUUCA